GUACAGCAGACAUUCACAUCGGACUCGGAUAUAGCUGGUUCUCCCCGAAAUAGCUUUAGGGCUAGCGUUGUGUUAGAUUACCGGAGGUAAAGCACUGAAUAGGCUAGGGGGCGAGAGUCUACCGACCCUUAUCAAACUCUGAAUGCCGGAUAAUUGAUGCACAGCAGUCAGACAGUGUGAGAUAAGUUUCAUUGUCAAAAGGGAAACAGCCCAGACCCACAGCUAAGGUCCCAAAUGUAUGUUAAGUGGAAAAGGAUGUCCAGUUGCACAAACAACCAGGAUGUUGGCUUAGAAGCAGCCACACAUUCAAAGAGUGCGUAACAGCUCACUGGUCGAGUGACCGGGCGCCGAAAAUGUAACGGGGCUAAACAUACAACCGAAGCUUGGGCUGCACAGCAAUGUGCGGGGUAGGGGAGCGUUGUGUGCGGGGAGAAGCACGAGCGGAAGCGCGUGUGGACUGCACAGAAGUGAGAAUGCCGGAAUGAGUAGCGCGAAUUAUGUGAGAAUCAUAAUGGCCGAAAGCCUAAGGUUUCUGGAGGAAGGUUCGUCCGCUCCAGGUUAGCCGGGAGCUAAGGUGAGGCCGAAAGGCGUAGCCGAUGCACAUACGGUGGAGAUUCCGUAGCCAUCAAAAGAUUUAAGCAGAGGGACACAGUAGAAGGGUACAUGCCGGGCGUUGGUAGCCCCGGUUGCAAGGGACCGAAAUUAGAGUAGGGAAGAUGGACUUGGAUACUGGCGAGAAAAGCUCUGUGGAUAUCUGCGAUGCCCGUACCGCAAACCGACACAGGUAGGUAGGAAGAGGAUUCUAAGGCCAACGGGAGAAGGGUUGUUAAGGAACUCGGCAAGUUGACCCCGUAACUUCGGGAGAAGGGGUGCUCUGGAAACAGAGCCGCAGAGAAUAGGUCCAGGCAACUGUUUAGCAAAAACACAGCUCUCUGCUAAAUCGAAAGAUGAUGUAUAGGGGGUGACGCCUGCCCGGUGCUGGAAGGUUAAGAGGAGGAGUGAGAGCCCCGAAUCGAAGCCCCAGUAAACGGCGGCCGUAACUAUAACGGUCCUAAGGUAGCGAAAUUCCUUGUCAGGUAAGUUCUGACCCGCACGAAAGGCGUAAUGAUCUGGACACUGUCUCAACAGCCCACCCGGCGAAAUUGUAGUACCGGUGAAGAUGCCGGUUACCCGCGACAAGACGGAAAGACCCCAUGGAGCUUUACUGCAGCCUAAUAUUGGAUUUCGGUAUUUCAUGUACAGGAUAGGUGGGAGACUGGGAAACACAGGCGUCAGCUUGUGCGGAGUCGCCCUUGGGAUACCA
rnacentral:rRNA from 1 species